CAGUAUCCAGAGUACCAGCGGACACGUGAAACCCGCUGGGAAGAUGGGGGGACCAUCCUCCAAGCCUAAAUACUACUCAGUGACCGAUAGUGGAGCAGUACCGUGAGGGAAAGGUGAAAAGUACCCCGGGAGGGGAGUGAAAAAGAACCUGAAACCUUGUGCCUACAAGCACCGAGAGCACGUUAAAGUGUGAUCGGGUACUUUUUGUAGAACGGUCCGGCGAGUUAAUAUUUGCAGCGAGGUUAAGGAACUGGAGUUCCGGAGCCGCAGCGAGAGCGAGUCUGAAAAGGGCGUAUGAAGUUGCAGGUAUUAGACCCGAAACCGGGUGACCUAUCCAUGAGCAGGCUGAAGCGGUGGUAAGACACCGUGGAGGGCCGCACCCACGUCUGUUGAAAAAGCCGGGGAUGACUUGUGGAUAGCGGAGAAAUUCCAAUCGAACUCGGAGAUAGCUGGUUCUCCCCGAAAUAGCUUUAGGGCUAGCGUUAUUUUAGAUUACCGGAGGUAAAGCACUGAAUGGUCUAGGGGCCGCGAGGUUACCAAAGCCUAUCAAACUCUGAAUGCCGGAUAAUUGAUGAAUAGCAGUCAGACUGUGUGAGAUAAGUCUCAUAGUCAAAAGGGAAACAGCCCAGAUCUACAGCUAAGGUCCCAAAUGAACACUAAGUGGAAAAUGAUGUGAAACUGCGAAGACAACCAGGAUGUUGGCUUAGAAGCAGCCACUCAUUCAAAGAGUGCGUAAUAGCUCACUGGUCGAGUGGUUUUGCGCAGAAAAUGUAACGGGGCUAAGUGUUCAACCGAAGCUUAGGCAUUGCAGUAAUGCNNNNNNNNNNGAGUGGUUUUGCGCAGAAAAUGUAACGGGGCUAAGUGUUCAACCGAAGCUUAGGCAUUGUACUUUGUACAUUGGGUAGGGGAGCGUCGUAUGCGGGGCGAAGUCAGAGCGGAAGCACUGGUGGACUGCAUACGAGUGAGAAUGCCGGAAUAAGUAGCGAGAAUUAUGUGAGAAUCAUAAUGGCCGAAAAUCUAAGGUUUCUUGGGGAAGGUUCGUCCGCCCAAGGUUAGUCGGGAGCUAAGCUCAGGCCGAAAGGCGUAGGCGAUGCACAUACGGUAGAAAUUCCGUAACCACCGAACAUUUAAGCUAGAGGGACGCUUUCUUUAAGGUUAUCCCGGGCGAUGGUUGCCCCGGGCGUAAGGGACCGAAAUUUAGUAGGGAAGUAGACGGCGUGNNNNNNNNNNNNNNNNNNNNNNNNNNNNNNNNNNNNNNNNNNNNNNNNNNNNNNNNNNNNNNNNNNNNNNNNNNNNNNNNNNNNNNNNNNNNNNNNACAUACGGUAGAAAUUCCGUAACCACCGAACAUUUAAGCUAGAGGGACGCUUUCUUUAAAGUUAUCCCGGGCGAUGGUUGCCCCGGGCGUAAGGGACCGAAAAAUAGUAGGGAAGUAACUGGCGAGAGAGACGAGAAAAGCUCUAGUGUAUACUAAGGUGCCCGUACCGCAAACCGACACAGGUAGAUGGGAUGAGUAUUCUAAGGCCAACGGGAGAAGGGUUGUUAAGGAACUCGGCAAAUUGGCCCCGUAACUUCGGGAUAAGGGGCGCCUGCGAGAGCAGGCCGCAGUGAAAAGGCCCAAGCGACUGUUUAGCAAAAACACAGCUCUCUGCUAAAUCGAAAGAUGACGUAUAGGGGGUGACGCCUGCCCGGUGCUGGAAGGUUAAGGGGAGUGCUUAGCGCAAGCGAAGGUGCGAACUUAAGCCCCAGUAAACGGCGGCCGUAACUAUAACGGUCCUAAGGUAGCGAAAUUCCUUGUCAGGUAAGUUCUGACCCGCACGAAUGGCGUAACGAUUUGGGCACUGUCUCAACAGCCCGCCCGGCGAAAUUGUAGUACCGGUGAAGAUGCCGGUUUCCCGCAACUAGACGGAAAGACCCCAUGGAGCUUCACUGUAGCUUGAUAUUGGAUCUCGGUAUUCCAUGUACAGGAUAGGUGGGAGGCUAGGAAGCGAGCGCGCCAGCGUUCGUGGAGCCAACCUUGGGAUACCACUCUUGGGAUAUUGGGAUUCUAACCUGCGACCAUGAAUCUGGUCGGGGGACACUGUCAGGUGGGCAGUUUGACUGGGGCGGUCGCCUCCAAAAGAGUAACGGAGGCGCUCAAAGGUUCGUUCAGCACGGAUGGAAAUCGUGCACUGAGUGUAAACGCAUAAACGAGCCUAACUGCGAGAAUGACGGUUCGAGCAGUAACGAAAGUUGGAGUUAGUGAUCCGGCGGUAUGUGAAUGGAAAUGCCGUCGCUCAACGGAUAAAAGCUACCCUGGGGAUAACAGGCUGAUCUCCCCCAAGAGUCCACAUCGACGGGGAGGUUUGGCACCUCGAUGUCGGCUCAUCGCAUCCUGGGGCUGAAUUCGGUCCCAAGGGUUUGGCUGUUCGCCAAUUAAAGCGGUACGCGAGCUGGGUUCAGAACGUCGUGAGACAGUUCGGUCCCUAUCUGUUGCGGGCGCAGGAAUAUUGAGAGGAGCUGUCCUUAGUACGAGAGGACCGGGAUGGACGUACCGCUGGUGCACCAGUUGUUCUGCCAAGGGCAUAGCUGGGUAGCUAAGUACGGACGAGAUAAACGCUGAAGGCAUCUAAGCGUGAAACUCCCCUCGAGAUAAGUGUUCCCAUCCUUCGGGAGUAAGGCCCCUUGUAGACUACAAGGUUGAUAGGUCAGGAGUGGAAGUGCAGUAAUGUAUGGAGCGGACUGAUACUAAUAGGCCGAGGGCUUGACCUUA
rnacentral:rRNA from 1 species